rnacentral:rRNA from 1 species
CAAUAGCGUAUAUUAAAGUUGUUGCAGUUAAAAAGCUCGUAGUUGGAUUUCUGGUCGGAAGCUCCUGUCCUCUGAUGAGCGUACAAGUGCGUCCUACCAUCCUUCUGUUAACCUUUAAGGCUUUCGCGGCUUUCUAGGGGCUCAGAUAUUUUACCUCGAGAAAAUUAGAGUGUUUCAGGCAGGCUAGCGCCGGAAUACAUUAGCAUGGAAUAAUGGAAUAGGACUUUUGCCUCUUCUGUUGGUCAUGAGGCUCGAGUAAUGAUUAAUAGGGAUAGUUGGGGGCAUUAGUACUUAACUGUCAGAGGUGAAAUUCUCGGAUUUGUUAAAGACUAACUUAUGCGAAAGCAUUUGCCAAGGAUGUUUUCAUUA